CUGGAGCUGGGCAGGAAGUCACCCCCCAUCAUCCUUGCUGACUGUGACCUCAGCAAGGCUGUGCAGAUAGUGAGGACCACCUGCAGGUGGACGUGGGGUGCCCAUCUCUGAUUCCACAGUCAAACUCACACAUUUGGCCUAGACUGGCAGGAAGGAGCCUAGGGGACAAAGAAUGACAUAUGUCUUCCAGAAAAAAAACACUUCCCAAGAAGUUUUGUGACUGUCAGAAUUACCAAGAUCAGCUUCACAGAAUAGGAAAUGUUAUGUUCUGUUCUGAUAUCAGCAUGAAAACCUCUCCUUUUUGCUGUGUCUGUUUGUCCAGCUCCACCACUGACUCACUGGGCAGCCUCAGGGGAUGAGCUGUGUCUUCUUCAACAAAGGCGAGAACAGCAUUGCAGCAGGCCAGCUCUUCGUAGAGAACUCAAUCCACAACCACAUUGUACAGAAGGUGGUAAGUUCUUCUGCAGAGUCUUCAUUGGGGAGACUUGGGCUGCGGGGGGUUGGGGGCAGGGAGGCAGGCUUGGGCCAGGC
rnacentral:lncRNA from 1 species